rnacentral:rRNA from 1 species
UACGUAGGGUGCAAGCGUUAAUCGGAAUUACUGGGCGUAAAGCGUGCGCAGGCGGUUUUGUAAGUCUGUCGUGAAAUCCCCGGGCUCAACCUGGGAAUGGCGAUGGAGACUGCAAGGCUAGAAUCUGGCAGAGGGGGGUAGAAUUCCACGUGUGAGCAGUGAAAUGCGUAGAGAUCCGGAGGAACACCAGUGGCGAAGGCGGCCGCCUGGACCUGACCUGAC